UGAAGGGAUGAAUUUUGUGCAUAGCUCAUCGUCCCUCUACCUUCAUUCAUGUGUAGAACAUUUACAACUUCCAUGACUCUCUCUCUCUAAGGUGCAAGACUGCCCCUAAAUCCUUCUUUUGGGGUGCGAAAAUGAGAAUGGUAAUAAAUUGAAAGAAGUGCAGUGGUAUAUUUAUAGGGGAGUUUGUGCCUAACUUUGGGGAGUUCAGUCAUGUGCAUCACGUGCAAUCCAUGAG
rnacentral:lncRNA from 1 species